rnacentral:tRNA from 1 species
AUUCACAUAGUUAAACAAAGAACAGUAGACUUUCUAUCUACAAGUCCCAAAAUAUUGGGUGUGAAUA